UUGUUUGUUUUUAUUAAAUUGACGUUCUGGUAUACAAUGUUUAAGGUGGUAAUCCCCCGUCCCGAGAGACGUGGGGAAACGGUUCACGGUGUGUGUGUGUGUUCGAAAACGACCCAAAGGUCAAUCUCUAAUGAUCCUUCCGCAGGUUCACCUACGGAAA
rnacentral:misc_RNA from 1 species